AUUGAACGCUGGCGGCGUGCCUAACACAUGCAAGUCGAGCGGACGAACGAAGCUUUCUCCUCGCUUCAGCGACCGACGGGUGAGUAAUUCCUAGGAAGCUACCUGGUAUUUGAGGAUAACAUCCGGUAGCGAGCCCUAAUACAGCACACGUCCUGAUGUAGAAACGCAUGGAUCUUCGGACCUCGCGCUAUUAGAUGUCCCUGCGCCGCAUUAGCUAGUUGGUAAGGUAACGGCCUACCAAGGCAACGAUGCGUAGCCGACCUGAGAGGGUGAUCGGCCACACUGGAACUGAGACACGGUCCAGACUCCUACGGGAGGCAGCAGUAGGGAAUCUUCCGCAAUGGGCGAAAGCCUGACGGAGCAACGCCGCGUGAGUGAUGAAGGUCUUCGGAUCGUAAAACUCUGUUAUUAGGGAAGAACAAAUGUGUAAGUAACUAUGCACGUCUUGACGGUACCUAAUCAGAAAGCCACGGCUAACUACGUG
rnacentral:rRNA from 1 species